AUUGAACGCUGGCGGCAGGCCUAACACAUGCAAGUCGAGCGGAUGAAGGGAGCUUGCUCCUGGAUCCAGCGGCGGACGGGUGAGUAAUGCCUAGGAAUCUGCCUGGUAGUGGGGGAUAACGUCCGGAAACGGGCGCUAAUACCGCAUACGUCCUGAGGGAGAAAGUGGGGGAUCUUCGGACCUCACGCUAUCAGAUGAGCCUAGGUCGGAUUAGCUAGUUGGUGGGGUAAAGGCCUACCAAGGCGACGAUCCGUAACUGGUCUGAGAGGAUGAUCAGUCACACUGGAACUGAGACACGGUCCAGACUCCUACGGGAGGCAGCAGUGGGGAAUAUUGGACAAUGGGCGAAAGCCUGAUCCAGCCAUGCCGCGUGUGUGAAGAAGGUCUUCGGAUUGUAAAGCACUUUAAGUUGGGAGGAAGGGCAGUAAGUUAAUACCUUGCUGUUUUGACGUUACCAACAGAAUAAGCACCGGCCAACUUCGUG
rnacentral:rRNA from 1 species